GUGAAUCAUCGAAUCUUUGAACGCACAUUGCGCCCGCUAGUAUUCUGGCGGGCAUGCCUGUUCGAGCGUCAUUUCAACCAUCAAGCCCCUGUGCUUGUGUUGGAGCCCUGCGGCUGCCGCAGGCUCCCAAACCCAGUGGCGGGCUCGUCGUCGUACCGAGUGCAGUAAACUUACCACGCUCAGGGCACGCGACGGGUGACCGGCCGUAAAACCCCCUACUUCUCAAAGGUUGACCUCGGAUCAGGUAGGAAUACCCGCUGAACUUAAGCAUAUCAAUAAGCGGAGGA
rnacentral:misc_RNA from 1 species